rnacentral:ncRNA from 2 species
UUCUUAUCGAGAGCGGUCGAGGGAGCCGGCCCAAUGACGCCGCAACAACCACCUGGUUUUUCGGCCAGGCAGGUGCUAAAUCCGGGCAGAGGUGCUUUGGCACCUACUGCGCAGAUAAGAG